UUCAGGGUCAGAGCUUCUCACAUUCUAUAAGUAAAUACUUUUCUUAGAAUACAAAAGUGAAACGUUAAUUGUAGUGAACUGAAAAACAAACUGAGAAAUCACCCAGAGCCUUCUUUUCAGAAAGACCCUAUAGCUUCUGUUGCAUCUUGCAAAAUAAUGUCCUAGAGCUCUCAGUUAAUUUUCCUUCACUAAGUAACAUGACUUGGCACCUGUUUAUUGCACACUAGUCAUUCAUCAACAGUAACAUUUUUAUUAGAAAGCAAAAUAAGAAGAUUCAGAAUAUAUUUUGCAAAUGAGAAUGCUAUUUUUUAAAAAUUUUCACCUUUGAUGCUUUCUGUGAGGAUCAAAAUUUGAUAGAUGCUCAACUUUCCUUUUAAAUUCUGUAUAUUUGGUUCUGUGUGGAGUUAGAUAGUUCAUUUUUUCAAAUAAUGGGUGAUUGAGAAAGGGAUUAUCUUAAUAAAAUCAAAACCACAAGAAAUAGGAUCUGUGUUACAGGCAGAGCUUUUCAAUUUAUACAAUAAAUCACUGUUUUCAAAUUAUGAUGGUGACAAAAAAAUUCAGGUGAUUAAAAUACAUGUAGGAGAUCCAGCCUAUUCUCACUAUUCAAAGAGAAUGAGUACUUAUAGUUUUUGUAUCAUGCAUAUUUUAUACACUUAUUAUGUUGUUGAUUAUAAUAUAUUCCCUGCUCUUUUAAUUAUAACCUUGUAUUCCUAUAUUUGAUAAUUUAUAUUAAUAAACUUUCAUGUUUGAUUUUUAAUUUCUUCAAAUAGUCCACAUCAUCAAGUGCAUCAACAUUUACACAGCUAUUCCAAAAUUUAUAUUAAUUUAUGAUUUUUUCAUUUUUUUUUCUUUUUGGGAUAAUAUUGAACAAGGUCAUAAAUCAUAUAAAGUGUCUACAUUUUGCAUCAUGCAUAUUAAUAGUUUUCUCAAAUUUACCUAACAGGUUAAAGCUAUAUAGUGAACUUUAAUUUAGUCUCUGGUUACCUAGCGCAUACUGACUUCCUGUGACUGUAAUCAUUUGUCUUUCACUGAGCAGAAUGUCACAGUGAGUGCAGAUAUUACUGCACACUUGUCAGGACUGCAGCCUCUUGGGACUUGGUAGAAAAAUUAUGGAAACAUUUUUACCAGUGAGAAAAUUAAAAGGCUACCUCUUUCUCCUUUAAACAUUUGGUUAAUUUUAUGAGGCCUCAAUAAUUGUUCCAUAAUCCUUUUCUAAAAAUUCUUUGUGUGCAUGGUGCAUGAUUCAUUCAUCAUAUCUCAUAAUUAUGAUCAAGAAGGAGCUUCAUCAUGAGAAAAAAAAUUCCCACACCAGAACCAAUCAAAAUAAAAAAGAGGAGGGAUGAGAGGUUUCCAGGCUAACAAAUGGUCAAUAUGGUUCCAUCUCUUAUCAUAAUGCAUGAUAAUAUUUUAAGAGAAAAAUUAUUAAAAACUUGCUUUUAUUACUGUGUAGUAAAUCAUUUAAAAUUUUUCCAUAUGAAAUAAGAGAACUGUUUCAAAUUCUCUUCUCAUUAUGGAAUAUUCUUUUAAUCUCAAUCUUCCUAUACAAUAUUGGAUCAAUAUUAGACAGCAAAUAGAAUUGGAUAAUCAUUAGACAGGCAGUAGGGGAUGUGAAUCCCAUUAUUUAUUGCCCUGUGAAGGCAGAAAAAGAAGCAGAACUUAGGCGGAGAUGUGAAAGGCAAUAAAUUCCAAACAUCAGUAUGUGGAGCCCAGUGAUGGUCACUUCAUUCCUGGAUGUGGCUUUGGCACCUAUAAAUCUCAAGAGGUAACAGUAGGGUAUUGCAUUGAGGGUUCCAAAGAAAGUAGACACAGGAUGAAUGGAAUCCAAUCUGGGUUGUCAAGAAACUUGCUUCCUAUGUGACUCUGGGGGACUUAUAUGGUUCUCUGUUUCUCCAGGUGAAAGCUAUUCCAUGUGUGGGAGAGACAAUGGUCAGACAAUGCUCUACAUCACUGAUGGUGUGGUCCCCUACAGAGUAUUUACCAAUUUGCUGGAAUGAUGGUUUAGCAAUUGGUUUUCACUGGGACUGGUUUCUCUAUUUCUAUACUUUGCAAUUUUUUUUUUCCUUUCAAGAAAGCAAGGUCCACAAAAAUCUGAUUAGCAAAAUGUACUUGAGAUAAGAAGCACAGAAUAAAUGAUGGGGAUAACUUCCUUUCCACUGUGAGGAAGUCUUCAGCAUCUCAUAGAAAAUGCUGCACCUUGGCUGAAUAUAUUUUUUCAUGUGCUCUCAAACUGCAGGAAAUUUAGCUGAAUGUAUAAUAUAACAUCCUGAGAAGUCAAGUGGCACGUAAGAAAGAUAUUUUCCAUUAUUGGUCAUCGUUAAUGUGUGCUGUAUUGAUAAAUUACAAUCUGAAGAGGAGUGAGCUAAGUUCACUAGAGGGGAAUUAAUUUUGUACUCUGGACACUUAAUUGUGUGAUAAGCGAUUAGUAUGCUGAACUUUGGAUAUAGUAUUUUUCUUCUGCAUGACUUAAGGAAAAAUGCAGAGACAUGAUAGGACAUGUUUACAUUGUAGGACAAAGUGGCAUAAAGUGGACCACUAGGGCUUCAGGCAUACUUCAUGUGCCCUGACACUUAGGCAAUUCAUGGCUGGUUUCAGCAGAGGGAGGUAGGUUCCAGGAUCACAUUCAGUUUGAUUUCAUGGAAAAAGAAAUAUUCUGAAAAUUUAAGAAGAUAAAAGAGUGUGUCUUAUUUGCCUUUUUAUACUUUACCAAAUGAACUUUCAAAUCAUUAUCCAAACUUUGCAGACCAUGAAAUAAUUGUCAUUUUCACUCUUAUUAUAUCUUUCACAAAAGAGUGUGAAUUAACAUUAAGGGCUCACACUAAUGUGAAUAAUUCUUUACCACAUGAGUACAUUUUCUUAUUUGUAAAUCUAUAUCCUCACACUAUACAUAUUUUUCCAGCCAGUGUUUAGAUCCAUCAUAUGUAGUUACAGGUGUGGGUCAGAGGUUACACAGCAUAUUGCUCUUUGUUCAAGAGCCUGUUAUCAACCUGGCCACUGGUUGGCAUCUGGGAACUUUGAUUUUUCAGUUUUUAAUAACACACAAAGAUGAUGAAGGUCCCUAAAUGGCAUGAACAUUGUAGUUUAUCUAUGCAUUCUUCAGUCAUAUUCAUAGUCCUGUUGUGCCAGGGCAGUGGGAUAGGUUGCCAAAAGACCAGAGAAAAUACCUGGAGACUCCAAAUAGGCAAAAGACCUUAUUGAGAAAUGCUUAUAGGGAGGGUACAUCAGUGACAGUCUGAACAGACAGCACCUGACUCCCUCACAUUGGUCAUGUAAAUAUAAAAGCAGGUGAUUACUUCUCAUUAUAGACAUGUUUAUCCUAGAGAGUUGGUAAAGGAGUCACAGGCAAUGAAUUCCAAACAUCAGUAUGUAGAGCUCAAUGAUGGUCACUUCAUUCCUGGGCGGGGCUUUCGCACCUAUAAGCCUCAAGAGGUAACAGUAAGGGGUUGGGUUGAGGGCUCAUAAGAAAGUAGAGACAAUAUAAAUGGAAUCCAAUCUAAGUUGCCAAGUUACUUGUUCCUUAUGUGACUCUGAAGGACUCACAUGUACUCUCUUUCUUCACGCUAGAGCUAUUCCAUGCACAGGAUAGACAAUGGUCAGACAUUGCUCUACAUCUUUGUCUGAUUUCAAUCUAUUCAACCAAUUUAGUAAAAGAUGAAUGUCAGCACUUGGUUUGCACUAGUACUGGUUUCUGUUUAUUUCCAUAAUUCAUGAAAUCUUUUUUCCUUCCAAAAAAGUCAAGAUCCAGAGACAUCUGUGUAGCAAAAGGUACAGAAGAUGAGAAGCACAGAUAAAUGAUGAGGAUUCCUUCCUUUCUGCUCUGAGGUAGCCUGCAGCAUCUCACAGAAAUGGUGGACCUGAGCUGAGUAGGAUUUUCCAUGUGCUCUCAACUGUGGUGCUGCCAUGGGACUCCUCACUAUUCCUGUGGAUAAAUGCAGGGUUAGCAAUAUCUCAAAUCCAUAACAGCUGAACUCCAGUUUUCAACAGCUUUCACCACAGCUGCAUCAGCUUACAGUUAUUAUCAUUAAAGGUCCUGACCCAGUGAUUGUUUGGAGUCGGGGGUCUGUUUGUUUCCACAGAGAGAACAGCAGCCAAUUUGGAUUCCAGAGAGACUAACUAAAUCGAUUUCUACAGACCAAAAAGAUCCUUACAUCUGCAAUAAUGGUUCUCCCACACCUGGAGGCUAAUGAAUAAUGAGCACCAUUAAGGCCUAUUUCAAAUAUAAAUUACUGAAAUCCAAAUGAGACUUCGGAAAUACAGCUACCAUCAUCACAGCUAUUGCUGUUUCUGCUGCUGCUACAACAGCUUCUGCGAUAGCUAUCACACAAACUGUACAAACUGUUGCAUUAAUAUUUACUUCAAGAAGAAAUAGACAUAUUAAUGGAUUCCUCUGCUUUAAGCUGCUUGCAGAACUUACCUGGACUGUGUAUCACUUAUAUGCAUUAUGAACUGAUACAACAAAUUGUAAUUAGUACAAGGGUAUCUUUGCUGAUGGUGUCAUCUGUGGUACAGUUUUUCCAGGGAUCUCUCACUUGGAGCAGUCAAUGGCUUGAUAUCAUAGCAUUUUGUAUCCUCCUCCUUUCUGCUUGUGGCAGGUUGUUUGUGGUGUAUAUGUAAAAACCACUAUGGUCGUUAUCCACAAGUAUGGCUAAGUGUGUUGGGCCGGUAGUCAAAGAUGGGUAAGAUCCAAUUACAAUGGUACCAACCUAAGACAGGAGGCUGACGAUUUGAGGUCAGACAAUCCAAUGAUGGGUAAGGACCAUAUGUAGUAUUGGACAACCUAAAACAGGCUCGGUCCCUGAGCCACAUACUUGUUGUUUAAUUAAACAGAAGGGAGGAGAUGUUGAGGGCCACAACCAAGUCAAGAUGGCGCCUGGCAAUUUGCCAGGAGGAGUGGUUUGUGAAGAUACGCCAGCGAGCCAUUAAGAUGAUGAAGAUUCCUUAAUGACUGACUGCUGUAUCUAGAUGAUGUUAGUUAAGUUAAGCUGUGUGUAAUUAGUUGGGUAUAUAUACCUCUGCUGUCCCGUAAUAAAGUGGCUCCCACUGUUUCAGGCUUCACAAGUUGCUUGUCACAUCCUGGUUAUUUGCCCAGCCAGACUGCGGGACAUUCAUCUGUGAAGGACGCCUAGUUGGUUCCAUAGUUUAUCUAUUGUUAAUUUAGCUACUAUAAACACUGAUGUGGCUGCAACAUUGCAGUAUGCUAAUUUGAGAUCCUUUGUAAGGGUUGUGUGUUUGGGAUUGGGGUCUCUGAUGACUUCAUGGUUGUAGCAUGCUUGGUGGCUGGGAAAGUUUCUGUACAAAAGUACAGGAUGCCUAGCAGCUGAGAAAUUUUCUCUGCAAAGGCACAUAAUGCCUAGCUGUGCAAGGACACGGAUGCCUAGCUUUUGUAGCAAUGCCCUUAAUGAGGAGUUCUGUGCUUGAGUCUUAUCAGCCUAGACCUUGAUCUCAGGUACAAAGAAACUCUUGUUAGACAACCACAAUAUUUUACCAAGCUCUGCUGUGCCAGAGUCUGUCCACAGAACAGUAACAAUGGACUUUCUUGAGAGCUACACAAAGCUCCUAACAUUGCACAUUAAAACUACAGCAUGUAAUUGACUAAUAAGCUGCAUAAUGUUGCUAACUCUGUAACCUGCCUAGUGACACAUGGACAAUAAUGUACUACUGAUGCCAGGGACCCAAUGUAACCUAUUGAUAUAAAUAAAACUGGCAGCUUUGAUAA